GGAUCAAUAGCGCAAUUGGUAGAGCACUCGUCCGGCAAGUGAGAGGUCGUGGGUUCGAGUCCCACUCGAUCCA